rnacentral:tRNA from 1 species
GCGCCAAUAGCUCAAUUGGAUAGAGCACCUGACUUCGGAUCAGGCGGUUAAGAGUUCGAGUCUCUUUUGGCGCA